GGCCAACCGAGACCCCAUAACAUAUUGUUCCACAGAGAUAUGUAUGAAGCUGGCUGAAACCGACCAAAACUGACUGAAAACGGGCAGGCCGAGGUAAACCACUGUCGCAAGUGGUGGUGUCGUCCUUGGAGCACGGCGGUGCCACGGUGCUGGAACCUUGAAGUUGGCCGAAAAAGAUUUUUUAUACCAAUUUUGAAUUUCUAGGGUAUUUUUAGAUACGUGACAAAUGUUUUGAAUUCUACAGGGAUAAUUCAAGAAAUUCGGAACCCAUUAGAAACCGUAAUAGACAGCACGACAUUCUGAAAUACUGAUUUAGGUAAGGAUCCUUCACAAUUUUCUCUGUUACGAUAAAUUACGGUUUAAUGUUAAUAAUUGU
rnacentral:lncRNA from 1 species